AAAGUACUCCCUCAAGGGAUGGCUAACAGUCCAACUAUGUGUCAAAUAUAUGUUAACAAAGCAAUCCAGCCACUUAGAAAUCAAAAUCCUGAACUACAAAUAUUUGACACAUAGUUGGACUGUUAGCCAUCCCUUGAGGGAGUACUUU
rnacentral:miRNA from 1 species